rnacentral:misc_RNA from 1 species
AACAUACAUGAACCAACUUGAGGGAGAGUGUUGGAAUCCCGUGUUUCAUUCCUCCUAUAGGAGUGUUUCAUUCACUGUAGAAUUUGUAUGUAAUUGUAAUUACUUUCUUUCUUUUAUGAUAGUCUUCUAGUCUAUCUAGAUUUCCUAUUAGAUCUAAAAUCAUUGUAUAUAAAUAGGAGGAAGAGUACAAAGUUUAUAUAUAGAGGAACAGCUUAGUCGCUAAAGUUGGGAUUUAAUUUUAGAUUGGCGUUGAUUGUCAAAGUCACUCGACCUUGGCUUGCGACUGCGGCCACCAUUCUUGGCUGGAUUGAUAGAACGGCUUCAUGUCUUCCAUUACCAGAAUGGUCCAAUGUUGCAUUCUUCCAUCCUUCUAAACUUAAUUGGCGCUACAAGCUCCACAGGUUAACCCCUGCAGCUCCCAAUCCCUUAGAGCUAAAAGAAGCCUGAAGAAGAAACAAGAAGCCAAACUAGGAGUAGGAGCAGGAGCUAUCUUCCGGAGAUGACUGACAUGGAAUAUGCGUAUGAAGUGGUAGGAUUGGUGCCAUCUAAUUGAUCUGUUGGCAAUGCAGCAAUAGUUGCCCUCUUAUGGCCAUCAGGUGCAUCGUCAUCAAUUGACAUCAAAUCUAUAACAAUCAUUUGGGUAUCAGGGGGCUCCUCCACAGCCACCCGGUCUUCAAGCAUUUCCACCACAUGAGCCAUGGUAGGCCUAAGCCUAGCCUUCUCUUGUAUGCACCAGAAAGCUAUAUGAACCAAUCUCUUUACUUCCCUCUCAUCAAUAUCUCCAUUUUCUACUAGCCUAUGAUCAACCACUUCCAUAAGCUUUCCUUCCCUCAUUUUCUGAUUGACAAUUUUGGGAAAGUACUGCCAUGUCCUCUGAGCCCUGUCAUUGCCCUUUUCUAACAAGCAAACAUUUCUCUGGCCUCCAAUCAUCUCCAGAAGCACCAUUCCAAAACUAUAGACAUCAGACUUCUCAGAAACACCAUGCUCCAAGAGCCAUUCUGGGGCUAAGUAACCUCUUGUCCCGCGGAUAUUUGUGAUGACUCUACUCUGAUCUUUUCCCAUUAACUUCGAAAAACCAAAAUCUGCAACAAUUGCUCGAUAAUUUUCAUCAAGAAGUAUAUUCUCUGGCUUGAGAUCAAGGUGCAAGACUCUUGACCGGCAAUCGUGAUGAAGGUAAGAAAGUGCCUUGGCCACAUCAAGGGCAACUCUAUACCUUGAUUCCCAUGACAAGCACCCUCGAGGGACAUUCCGGGUUCCCUUCUUGGGGAAAAUCCAGCAGUCCAAUGACCCAUUUGGGAUGAAAUCAUAAACAAGGAAACGAGGCCCUCCUGCCACAAUACAAUAUCCAAGAAGACGCACCAGAUUCACAUGCUGAACACUAGCAAUUGCUGCAACUUCCGAUCGAAAUUCCUUCUCUCCACGCUCCUCUUUCUCAAUUCGCUUCACAGCAAUGGCAGUUCCAUCGGUUAAAAUCCCUUUGAAAACCGAAGCCGACGCCCCUUGGCCAAGCAAUGACCGAAAAUUAUCAGUUGCUUCCUCAAGUUCCUUGAAUCGAAACUUUAUAGGAAGUCCAGCAACUUUUCUCAGGAAACUAUACUCAAUGCGAAGCUCUCUGCCUUCAGAAACUAAUUGAGUCACCAUCAACCUACUUCUGCGAUUAUAACGCCGUCUGAUCAUGAGACAUGCGAAGACCGCAAGGAUCACUGCAACAUCGGCCCCUGCAAUAAGGUAGAAAGCCUUAGAGAGCUUAAGUGAGAUGCGAGCUAUAACGAUGACGACGAUGAGAAUGAUAACGGUUGAAACAGCGAUUAUGUUAGCUUUCUUGUCCUCCAUUAGAGUAGUAGUUCCAAGGGAAGAUGGAGGUAGCGAAGAAUCUAUACUCUGAUUCACAUGUUCUUCUCUUGCUCAAUGGAUCAUUUUCGUAGAACGCGCAGAGGAGUAUGUGACUGAAAAUUCCUAUACGAUGGCGAGAAACAUUUCCUCCUCU